AUACGGAAGGUCCGGGCGUUAUCCGGAUUUAUUGGGUUUAAAGGGAGCGCAGGCGGAGAUGCAAGCGUGACGUCAAAUUUCGGGGCUCAACCCCGUCUCGCGUCGCGAACUGCGUCCCUUGGUUGCGGGAAGGGGAGGCGGAACUCGUGGUGUAGCGGUGACAUGCAUAGAUAUCACGAAGAACUCCGAUCGCGAAGGCAGCCUUCCGGCCCGUCAACGACGCUCAUGCUCGAAGGUGCGGGUAUCAAACAGGAUUAGAUACCCUGGUAGUCCGCACAGUAAACGAUGGACACCCGCGGUUUGGCCUGUAUGGCUGAGCCGCCAAGCGAAAGCGUUAAGUGUCCCACCUGGGGAGUACGCCGGCAACGGUGAAACUCAAAUGAAUUGACGGGG
rnacentral:rRNA from 1 species